rnacentral:rRNA from 1 species
CCUACGGGCGGCAGCAGUGGGGAAUAUUGCACAAUGGGGGAAAGCCUGAUGCAGCGACGCCGCGUGAGUGAUGAAGGCCUUCGGGUCGUAAAGCUCUGUCCUCAAGGAAGAUAAUGACGGUACUUGACGAGGAAGCCCCGGCUAACUACGUGCCAGCAGCCGCGGUAAUACGUAGGGGGCAAGCGUUAUCCGGAUUUACUGGGGGUAAAGGGAGCGUAGGGGGUUUCCUAAGUCAGAGGUGAAAGGUUACGGCUCAACCGUAGUCAGCCUUUGAAACUGGGGAACUUGAGUGCAGGAGAGGAGAGUGGAAUUCCUAGUGUAGCGGUGAAAUGCGUAGAUAUUAGGAGGAACACCAGUGGCGAAGGCGGCUCACUGGACUGUAACUGACACUGAGGCUCGAAAGCGUGGGGAGCAAACAGGAGUAGAUACCCCUGUAGUC